AGAGUUUGAUCAUGGCUCAGGAUGAACGCUGGCGGCGUGCCUAAUACAUGCAAGUCGAACGAGAUGCUUUUGUAGCAAUACGAGAGUAUUCUAGUGGCGAACGGGUGAGUAACGCGUUGGUGACCUACCCCAAAGUGUGGGAUAACAGUCCGAAAGGAUUGCUAAUACCGCAUGUGGUCUUCGGAUUUAGAAACUGAUGACUAAAGGAGCAAUUCGCUUUGGGAGGGACCUGCGUCCCAUCAGCUAGUUGGUGAGGUAACGGCUCACCAAGGCGACGACGGGUAGGGGACCUGAGAGGGUGACCCCCCACAAUGGAACUGAAACACGGUCCAUACACCUACGGGUGGCAGCAGUAGGGAAUAUUGCUCAAUGGGCGAAAGCCUGAAGCAGCAACGCCGCGUGUGGGAAGAAGGCCUUCGGGUUGUAAACCGCUUUCAGCAGGAACGAAAAUGACGGUACCUGAAGAAUAAGCACCGGCUAACUACGUGCCAGCAGCCGCGGUAAUAC
rnacentral:rRNA from 1 species